rnacentral:rRNA from 1 species
UGGGGAAUAUUGGACAAUGGGGGCAACCCUGAUCCAGCAAUGCCGCGUGUGUGAAGAAGGCCUGAGGGUUGUAAAGCACUUUCAGUGGGGAGGAGGCUUGUUAGGUUAAGAGCUAGAUAAGUGGACGUUACCCACAGAAGAAGCACCGGCUAACUCCGUGCCAGCAGCCGCGGUAAUACGGAGGGUGCAAGCGUUAAUCGGAAUUACUGGGCGUAAAGAGUGCGUAGGUGGUUUGGUAAGUUAUCUGUGAAAUCCCUGGGCUCAACCUGGGCAGGUCAGAUAAUACUGCUGAACUCGAGUAUGGGAGAGGGUAGUGGAAUUUCCGGUGUAGCGGUGAAAUGCGUAGAGAUCGGAAGGAACACCAGUGGCGAAGGCGGCUACCUGGCCUAAUACUGACACUGAGGCACGAAAGCGUGGGGAGCAAACA